rnacentral:rRNA from 1 species
UACAGAGGUCCCGAGCGUUGUUCGGAUUCAUUGGGCGUAAAGGGUGCGUAGGCGGCAAAGUAAGUUGGAUGUGAAAUCCUGGGGCUUAACCUCAGAAUUGCAUUCAAUACUGCUUAGCUAGAGAGCUGUAGAGGAGACUGGAAUUUACGGUGUAGCAGUGAAAUGCGUAGAUAUCGUAAGGAACGCCAGUGGCGAAAGCGAGUCUCUGGGCAGCAUCUGACACUGAGGCACGAAGGCCAGGGGAGCAAACGGG